CGGGAAUUUUGGGCAAUGGGCGCAAGCCUGACCCAGCAACGCCGCGUGAAGGAUGAAGUAUUUCGGUAUGUAAACUUCGAAAGAAUGGGAAGAAUAAAUGACGGUACCAUUUAUAAGCCCCGGCUAACUACGUGCCAGCAGCCGCGGUAAUACGUAGGGGGCAAGCGUUGUUCGGAUUUACUGGGCGUAAAGGGCGCGUAGGCGGCAUGACAAGUCACUUGUGAAAUCUCCGGGCUUAACUCGGAACGGCCAAGUGAUACUGUUGAGCUAGAGUGCAGAAGGGGCAAUCGGAAUUCUUGGUGUAGCGGUGAAAUGCGUAGAUAUCAAGAGGAACACCUGAGGUGAAGACGGGUUGCUGGGCUGACACUGACGCUGUGGCGCGAAAGCUAGGGUAGCAAAC
rnacentral:rRNA from 1 species